UACGUAGGGGGCAAGCGUUGUCCGGAUUUAUUGGGCGUAAAGAGCGUGUAGGCGGCCAGGUAGGUCUGGUGUGAAAACUCGAGGCUCAACCUCGAGAGGUCAUCGGAAACCAUCUGGCUAGAGUCCGGAAGAGGAGAGUGGAAUUCCCGGUGUAGCGGUGAAAUGCGCAGAUAUCGGGAAGAACACCGAUGGCGAAGGCAGCUCUCUGGGACGGUACUGACGCUGAGACGCGAAAGCGUGGGGAGCGAACAGG
rnacentral:rRNA from 1 species